UUGCCCUACGGGACGCAGCAGUGAGGAAUAUUGGUCAAUGGGCGCGAGCCUGAACCAGCCAAGUCGCGUGAGGGAAGACGGUCCUAUGGAUUGUAAACCUCUUUUGCCGGGGAGCAAGCGUGCGUUCGUGAACGCGCGUCGAGAGUACCCGGAGAAAAAGCAUCGGCUAACUCCGUGCCAGCAGCCGCGGUAAUACGGAGGAUGCGAGCGUUAUCCGGAUUUAUUGGGUUUAAAGGGUGCGUAGGCGGGAUGCCAAGUCAGCGGUAAAAAUGCGGUGGUCAACGCCGUCGAGCCGUUGAA
rnacentral:rRNA from 1 species